AUGUGUUAUUCACAAUUCCAGGGGGAUAGGGGAGACCCAGGUGCAAAUGGUAAAGACGGUGGUAAGGGGGAACCAGGACCUCCGGGUUUGCCUGGCAGACAAGUGCUUGUCACACCAGAGGGCGCCACCAUUGACGAGGUCCGACAAGCAUUCCCGAUCCCAAUGGGUCCUCCAGGAGCUACCGGUUCACCAGGAAAAAAGGUAAGGUGGCAAUGA
rnacentral:lncRNA from 1 species